AGUCUCCACCUGAUCUACUGAAUGUUGUGCCUAUUUUGGAGGCUUGUCCACAUUUAGAAGAAUUUCGUCUGCAGUUACUUUGUCGAGGUUUCAAUGAAGAAAGAGGAAGAGAAUGGCCUCCCAGACGCCUUGGUCAAUUAAAAGAAGUGGAAUUUAAUGGAUUUCACGGGACAGUAAAUGAAAUUCAUUUCGCUACUUAUUUGGUAAAAAAUGCUCCAGCACUUGAACGACUGUGGAUCCGCUCACCCUAUAGGUUCUAUUGUGAUGAUUAUCAUUUAGAACUGGAGGCGGUUGGUACAUGGAUGAGCGAGUCGAUACUCUGCAUGAAGAAUUGAUGAUGCAAGCCGUCUCCAGCAAACUGCAGGUGGAUAUUGUAAGAUCUCCAAGAACAGAACUCAAAAUCUGUGGGAGAGAAUAAACGCAUCGAAUAAAGUGGAGGUGAAGAAUUAAUGAUUCAAGGCCGCUCCGACAAGCUGCAGGUGAAUAUUGAAAGAUCUCCAAGAACAGAACUCAAAAUCUGUGGGAAAGAAUAAACGCAUCGAAUUGUGCUGGAUUAUUCAUAUACAAGGUGUGCAAUAAUUAAGUCUACUAGUCAUUCAUACGUCAAUUAUUUGUAACAAUAAUAAGUCUACCAAUUGUAACAAUAAUAAGUCUGAGAAGAUGCAAACACUAAGUGGCUUUGAGAUCUUUUCAUUUGUCAAACAAUUGGUUAAUUAUGAUUACAGUAGCGAGUUAUAGUUGCAUGAUGUACAUCUGACUUGGGAAAUUAAUUAUGCCAAACAAUUAAUUAUUCU